CAACGGAUAGUACUUGUUUUUCUUUUUUUUUAAUAAAUAAUGAUAGCGUUGAGAACUGGUCGCCAAAGUUAAAGAGAAAAAGGUGGGAUCCGCAGGAACAAGAGCGAGGGUCCGUCGGCGUUCCUCCUCUCUGAAUGUUGAUUUCGGGCUUCCCUCGAAGUGGAAAAGGGCAGAAAGGAUAGAGACUCAGAGAGAAAGAGGGAGCGAUGGGAAAUUUGAUGAGUUUUUUCUUCAACAAGGAGAGUCCACCCCCCAUGGUGCUGGUUCCCCCAUUUCGACUUCCCUCCCCUCGCGGCGCGCACCAGGAUGUUAGUUCCAGCUUAUGACUUACUAUUUGGGAAGCUUGCAUUGCAUUCCCUUUUUGAGGACUACUUUGAGCGAGGAACCUCAACACAAGAAACAUGCUAAAACCAUUGGAGGAUCCUCAUGUGGAUGGACUUGGAUGAUCUGUAUACAUUUAUGGACCUUAUGUUAUCUACUUCCGAUCCCAUACUGCAUUUGAGGUCAUGUGCUUACUACUCUAGAUAUCAACUUGGAGCUUUUGGUAUAUUUCCUUUGGUAAUAACAAAAAGUUAAUUCGAUGCGGACACUGUGAUUGCACGCUUGGCUGUCGCAUGCUGAACGCUUGCCCUUGGCCCUACCUUGGAAGACUCGGAUCACAAACUUGGAGAAAGACAUGUAUUGGGCCCAAAAGGAUGCUGUUGAAGUGAGGAAGAAACUUCGAAAGGCAAGAAGGUACAAUGAAAAGGCUUCAGUGGAAAUAGAUUGCCUGAGGAAAUGCAUACGGCAAAGGGACAGAGUAUUUUGCCGAUAGGCGCAGGAUAACAAAGGAGCGCGACAUGUUUGGAUGGGUGACUGGGGAGAGCAAGUGGAAUGCGGCUGCGAUGGCUGCUCUCUGCAAUGAGAAGAUCUGUGGGGCCAAGGAAGAAAUAAUACAACUAAGAUAUGACAUUGCAUCGCGAAAAGCUGCCGAGUCCUGCAGACCAUCAAAUGACUUCCUCGAAUGUGAGCUUCUUGUGGCGCAUGACGUCACUGCCAAUCUUUUGGAAUCCUUAAGCCUGACAGGUCCGCGCUGACUGAGCUCAGAGUUCGGCUUGCAGGGAGUGAGGAGGCCACCUACCGUGCCGAAGCUACUAUCAAACAACUGGAGAAAAAACUUGUCGCCACUAUGUGCGAGGUUGCUGUGGAAGUUGCCAAGGUCUCAACUAUGGCCUAUGACAUCGGUUUGGAAGAGUACUGUAGAAGUUUGGCCAAGCAGUUUUUUUUCGAAGUUGAUUCUAACGUCAAUGCCGUUAGGGACGACAGGGGCACUGAUCUCGCGGAUCCUAUCAUCAGGAGGCGCUCGGCUUUACCGUCGGAAAAGCGUGAGGUUCGGAAUAUGCUGCAGCUUCGUCCACCAAGGAUGGUCGCCUUGGAUGAUUCCACUCUCUCUCUUUUCUUUAAGCAUCUAUCUUGAGGUCCUUGUAACUAGUUUGUGGAAUAAAAUUUAAAAUUUUCAUUUUA